CCUUGGUGUGUUUUGAUUAUGCGGUGUGUUUGUUUACAUUUUGCAGCCGGCUGCCGUUUUCUAAUUUCUUUUCACUGGGAUUGCUUUUCAUUUCAGUGGAAAUCGGAACUUUGCGUGCAGUUUUGUAAAAACAAUUUCAAAUUGAUUCAGCCUUUAUUGAUGAAAUUCGUGCGGUGUUUUUCUCAAGAAAGUUACAUACUUCUCUGAACCAAAUUUUACUUUUUGACUGAAAGUUUUUGAGUGCAGUGUGCUUAAGGGUGAUUUGUGCUCAAAGUGAAGAAGUGCACAAUCGAAGUAAAUUGGCAUCAACCCUCUCUCGGCAAAGUCGACGGUGACAAGUUGUGAAGUCAUCGAUUACAAAACGCGUUUCGAGGCCGGUUGGAUGAGAACGCCAAUCAUUAUCAGUGAAGCAGCAAGAGGCCGAGUCUAACAGCAGACUUUUGCCCGCCUCGUCCAGCUACGAAUACUUUUAACUGUCGGUCAGGCUUCCAGACACCAAACCCCCACUAAAGGCACAGGCAAACAAGCAUAGAAAAUAAACUUGAGCAAAAUCAUAGUUCUAGAAAAUUAAUUGUAGUUUUUUUUAAUAAGAUUUUUAUUUAUAUUUGGCAAAAAAAAUCAGCAGCUUUAUUUAUGUAAUCAUUUUAUUUAUUUAAUUAUAGACAGGUAUUCAUGAAUUCAAAGCGGCUGAAUUAUCCAGCACCAUUAUCACUGUUUGAUUAUUUUCUCUUUAGGCAAGGCAGUGUUCCUUGGAUUAUUCAGGUCUGUUUCAUUCUUUCUACUCCAUGACGCUCAAAUUAAGAUGCUAUUGAAAGCUAAAAAUUAAAUUCUUUAAAACAAAAUUGACUCCGCAUUUUUGUUCGAGCGCAGAGUGUGCUUUUUUGUAAUUUUUUCGAGUAUAGUUUUGUGGUGAUUGUGUUGUUCUAUUUUUCCAUUUUUAUAUUUCAAAAGAAAUUUAACGAUUUCAAAUGUAAAUUGUAAUUCAUCAGUAUAAUUUAUGUUUUAUUAAACUUAUAUUGAAUUCUCUAUGUCUCUCUUUGACAUGAGUCCAGGUCAUCAGGUGCAACCGUGUGGUCUUGAACAACGUCUCUUGCCGCGGCUGCCUCCACAAGAUGUGCCUAAAAUAAAGAUCGAGUGGUUCAUUUUUGACAGAUCUUGUCCCUGUUCUGUCCAUACUACUCCAAUCAAAAUGAGAAAAAGGCCAGAGGCGGAGCAUAAUUUCAAGUACGAAAUAGAGGAAGACUACGCAGACCACUUGAACUUGUUGAAAAACCUUAACCUGGUCUUACCUUUUGGGUCAAGUGCUCAGGAGCGCACCAACCACCAACCACAUAAAAGCACCCAGUGCAGAAGCCAAGCGGAUUUGGAUUGACGUUUUCCUUUAUUGGCGGCGAGUUGCUUGAUGAGUGGACCACGAAACGCCUCCUCCACAUCUUCGGAGCUGGAUUCUUUUGGCUACUAUUUUUGCGGGUUCUCAAGGAGUCCAUGCUAAGUGGUCUAGAAGCAUCCCUGUGGCAGCUCAAAAAAGAAUGGCAGGAAUACUUGGAAACUCAAAACCAUCCCGGCCUGAUAGAGAGUCAAGAUCAAAGGAUGUAUGCGCGCCUCAAGAGGAUCCUAUACCACUUCUGGAUAGGAUUUGCAGAAGAAUUCCCGAGAGCAUUAAAAAGUGCAUUUCGAGACUUUCUGUUUGAAGCUCUAGCUCUCCUUUGGACGGUGCUAAGCAGUAUUGUUAUGAAGAUGAUUUGUCCUCUUCUACUCCCGAUUGGUCUCGCUCAAGCGAUCUGCCAAACCGGUGGAGUUCACAGAGGACGCAGACAAGAUUUUGCUCACCCACCUCAGGUCUCAUCACGAGCAGCAAAACACGAAGGAACCAGAGCUGCAGAAAAUGAAGAGUCGGGUAGGCAGCAACCCUAGAGGCAGCAACCACAGUGGUCCGGCAGUAAGAAACAAAGAGGAGCCGGAGUGGAAGCAUACAUGCAGACUCGGAAUGGCUACGAGACCAGUUUUUCGGACAACAAUAGAGUUCGAGGUUAUCCUCAUCAUAUACGGCAGCUCUUCUGACCAGAGCUGCAGAAGAGUCGGGUAGUCAGCAACCCCAGAGGCAGCAACCACAGUGGUCCAACAGUAAGAAAGAAAGAGGAGCCGGAGUCGAAGCAGACCUGCCGACUCAGAAGGGCUACAAGACCAGAAUUCGAAGAAUUCCGGUUUCAGGCGGACCAUUUCAGUCCUAUUUUAUGGGAGUAGCAGAACCAUCUGGAAUAAUGAGAAAGACUUUGAGCAGCAGCUUCAACAUAGAAAAUACCACCCUCUAUGUGCCUCACAAUGUGAGGGAAGUUGUCAAGACGGGCUUCCUAUACAGAGAAAAGAAACAGAUAAGAGAUUUCAUGUCACCGAUGGAAAUGUGGAUUAUGGUUGCUUGCUGCAAGGAGUUGCCUUUGAACUAUAAAUUAUUUGACGCACACGAUUUGCACAUUUGAAAUUGCAGCGCCGCUGCGGAAAGUCCAUGGGCAUCGUUGUAAUAAUUAUGUUCAUAUUUUUUCAUAAAA